rnacentral:rRNA from 1 species
GACGAAUGCUGGCUGCGUGCUUAACACAUGCAAGUCGAACGGUGAAGGGGAGCUUGCUCCCCGGAUCAGUGGCGAACGGGUGAGUAACACGUGGGCAACCUGCCCCUCACUCUGGGAUAACUCCGGGAAACCGGGGCUAAUACCGGAUACGACCGGGAGCGACAUCGCUCCUGGUGGAAAGAACUUCGGUGAGGGAUGGGCCCGCGGCCUAUCAGCUAGUUGGGGGGGUAACGGCCCACCAAGGCGACGACGGGUAGCCGGCCUGAGGGGGCGACCGGCCACACUGGGACUGAGACACGGCCCAGACUCCUACGGGAGGCAGCAGUGGGGAAUAUUGCGCAAUGGGCGAAAGCCUGACGCAGCGACGCAGCGUGAGGGACGAAGGCCUUCGGGUUGUAAACCUCUUUCAGCGGGGACGAAGCGAAAGUGACGGUACCCGCAGAAGAAGCACCGGCUAACUACGUGCCAGCCGCCGCGGUAAUAC